rnacentral:lncRNA from 1 species
AUGUCUCUCCCUUUUUACAUUCUCUCUUUCUCCCCUCUACAGGAGAAUAAAUUUCUAUUCCAAUGUUCUUUCUCUCUCGAGAAUUCUCGAGAAUUGUCAUUCUCGGUCACCGAGAGACUACCACUAAUACUGGCUAAGGGUAAGGGGUGCUGCUGGUGGUGUAUGUCUGUGUAAUUGGACUCUCUGUAUACCAGUUGACACGUAAGCUCUGGGUCUUUGGCCAAGCUGGUUCUGGCCUGGAUCCUGAUUUGUAAUUUACAACUUUCUACAAUAAAUUCCAGUUUGGCUUAG